rnacentral:rRNA from 1 species
GACCAUCUCCUAAGGCUAAAUACUCUCUAGUGACCGAUAGUGAACCAGUACCGUGAGGGAAAGGUGAAAAGCACCCCGGAAGGGGAGUGAAAUAGAACCUGAAACCGUGUGCUUACAAGUAGUCAGAGCCCGUUAAUGGGUGAUGGCGUGCCUUUUGUAGAAUGAACCGGCGAGUUACGAUUUGAUGCAAGGUUAAGCAGUAAAUGUGGAGCCGUAGCGAAAGCGAGUCUGAAUAGGGCGUUUAGUAUUUGGUCGUAGACCCGAAACCAGGUGAUCUACCCUUGGUCAGGUUGAAGUUCAGGUAACACUGAAUGGAGGACCGAACCGACUUACGUUGAAAAGUGAGCGGAUGAACUGAGGGUAGCGGAGAAAUUCCAAUCGAACCUGGAGAUAGCUGGUUCUCUCCGAAAUAGCUUUAGGGCUAGCCUCAAGUGAUGAUUAUUGGAGGUAGAGCACUGUUUGGACGAGGGGCCCCUCUCGGGUUACCGAAUUCAGACAAACUCCGAAUGCCAAUUAAUUUAACUUGGGAGUCAGAACAUGGGUGAUAAGGUCCGUGUUCGAAAGGGAAACAGCCCAGACCACCAGCUAAGGUCCCAAAAUAUAUGUUAAGUGGAAAAGGAUGUGGCGUUGCCCAGACAACUAGGAUGUUGGCUUAGAAGCAGCCAUCAUUUAAAGAGUGCGUAAUAGCUCACUAGUCGAGUGACACUGCGCCGAAAAUGUACCGGGGCUAAACAUAUUACCGAAGCUGUGGAUUGUCCUUUGGACAAUGGUAGGAGAGCGUUCUAAGGGCGUUGAAGCAUGAUCGUAAGGACAUGUGGAGCGCUUAGAAGUGAGAAUGCC